GCCAGAGACGAGUCUUGGAAAAUGCUUGGAGACACUGCUUUGGGAAAGAUCCUUGGUGUUCUCCUUAGUUGCUGUUAAGGUACUGUCUCUAGUGAAG